rnacentral:rRNA from 1 species
ACACAUGCAAGUCGAACGGUAACAGGUUAAGCUGACGAGUGGCGAACGGGUGAGUAAUGUAUCGGAACGUGCCCAGUCGUGGGGAAUAACUGCUCGAAAGAGCAGCUAAUACCGCAUACGACCUGAGGGUGAAAGCGGGGGAUCGCAAGACCUCGCGCGAUUGGAGCGGCCGAUAUCAGAUUAGGUAGUUGGUGGGGUAAAGGCUCACCAAGCCAACGAUCUGUAGCUGGUCUGAGAGGACGACCAGCCACACUGGGACUGAGACACGGCCCAGACUCCUACGGGAGGCAGCAGUGGGGAAUUUUGGACAAUGGACGCAAGUCUGAUCCAGCCAUGCCGCGUGCGGGAAGAAGGCCUUCGGGUUGUAAACCGCUUUUGUCAGGGAAGAAAAGGUUCUGGUUAAUACCUGGGACUCAUGACGGUACCUGAAGAAUAAGCACCGGCUAACUACGUGCCAGCAGCCGCGGUAAUACGUAGGGUGCAAGCGUUAAUCGGAAUUACUGGGCGUAAAGCGUGCGCAGGCGGUUAUGCAAGACAGAGGUGAAAUCCCCGGGCUCAACCUGGGAACUGCCUUUGUGACUGCAUAGCUAGAGUACGGUAGAGGGGGAUGGAAUUCCGCGUGUAGCAGUGAAAUG